CUGAAACAAAAGAGCAUUAGACACCUAAACACAUAACAUCUUCAAAAUCCUAAUUAAACAAUCAUAAAGAAAUGCACAAACUCAACUAAAAGUAUUUUGA